GUGAAAAAAAAAAAAAAAAAAAAAAAAAAAAAAAAAAAAAAAAAAAG
rnacentral:ribozyme from 13 species